rnacentral:rRNA from 1 species
GACGAACGCUGGCGGCGUGCUUAACACAUGCAAGUCGAGCGGUAAGGCCCUUUCGGGGGUACACGAGCGGCGAACGGGUGAGUAACACGUGGGUGACCGCCCUCAGCUCUGGGAUAAGCCUGGGAAACUGGGUCUAAUACUGGAUAUGACUCCACGGUGCAUGUCGUGGGGUGGAAAGCCUUGUGCGGCUGAGGAUGGGCCCGCGGCCUAUCAGCUUGUUGGUGGGGUGANGGCCUACCAAGGCGACGACGGGUAGCCGGCCUGAGAGGGCGACCGGCCACACUGGGACUGAGACACGGCCCAGACUCCUACGGGAGGCAGCAGUGGGGAAUCUUGCGCAAUGGGCGAAAGCCUGACGCAGCGACGCCGCGUGAGGGAUGACGGCCU